GCGCGGGUGGUGGAAUUGGUAGACACGCUAGCUUGAGGGGCUAGUGGACGCAAGUCCGUGGAGGUUCGAGUCCUCUCUCGCGCACCA
rnacentral:tRNA from 1 species